rnacentral:tRNA from 1 species
GGCAUUGUGGCUGAACGGUUAGGCAAAACUCCGCAAGAGUUCUUAUAGUGGUUCGAAUCCACUCGAUGCCU